CGAUUAGAUGAACACUCCCAUAGUUUCAGUUUCAGUUUCGGACUCAGUGUAAAACCUCAGUUCAGUUUUAGAAUCAGGACUGUCAGACACAGUCACCCAGCUCAGCACGAAACUCAGUUUAGUUCCACGGAAUCAUGACUGUCAGCAAUAGUCAUUCAGUUAAUAGUAAUACAGUAUCAGUAAACUCUGAUAUCAGUCAUUUAAUUUUCAGAACUCAUUAUUCAGUAUUAAAUGUGAUCUCAGUUACAGUAUAGUAUACAUAGUUAUGUGUAUAGCAUUGCAUAAUAAGUAUUUACAACAGUUUCAGAUAUACAUGUACUCUCAUUCAGUUAUAUUAAUAUUAUUCACCCAGUUAUUAUUCAUCCAUAUGAUCCCAUGCAUUCAGCCUUACCUCACCUAGCAUACCAAUAUAUUCAAAGUACUGAUGCAUACCUUUCUUUUGCACUAUGAUGUCUUAUAUUAUAGGUUCAGAUGCACGGGCUCUUGACUGUACCUAGUAGCUCAGAUUAUAAACUGCAGAUUUAGUGGUUAAUGUUGAGGAGUUUGAGGAAUCCAGCAGUGCUAUAAAAUUUUAAAGCAAGUGGAGUAGCAAAUGAUCUAUCCAAAUUAGGUUCUCAACUAACAAGGAUCAGUUCUAAUCACUUUUUGUUAUCUCCACCCAAUGAUGUGGAAGCACAAUUGAAACAAGAUCGUAAUGGAGUCUUAUCUAGUAGACUAAUUUCCUAAUCAUCAUGUAAUAAGUUAUAGUUCACUUAGAGAAAAAAUUUAUAAUGUAGUACUACUAGUAGUAAUAACUCUAUUUGAUCAGGCUCUUUCAUUAGCUUAAACUCUAGCAACAGUUCUAUUUUGUUAUUGCAUGGUACCAACUUGAUA